UACAUCAUGAUUUGUCAGUUCUUAUAAUGUAUAUAUAGUACUCAAUGCAAACGUUGUGGCAUUGAUAGACUUAUCUGAAUCUCAAAUUUCGCUAUCUACCAGAUUCCAACAAUGAAGGCAAUCAUUCUCUUGACCAUUUUGCUGGUAUCUUGUGCUGUCUAUGGUGAAAUGUUAGCUGACGAGACUAGAGCAGUGAAUGAAAAUAACGCUGUAGAAUCAGAGCUGACUCAAAGCACUGAAGAAAAGAAACGCGUAUGGGCAAACUGUGCCCCUAAUGACUACAAAUGUCUCUAUGGAUAACUUUGAAGUAGACAGGAAAGUGGCUGACAUUCUCUAAUAAUUGACAUUCGUUGUUUAAGAUCUAAUAAAUUAUUUAAGCAAA